GGCGGCGACGGUUGUAUGGUUGCAUUACAAGGCAAUGGGCACACUCGGUCAAGUUAGAAUAUCAAGUCAGUGUGACACACGUCAAUUCUAAAAAACAUGAAAAGGUCCAAACUCUCUGGUGCAGAGGGACGAAAACGAAGGAAAGAGGAAGACAAGAAGAAAGCCCAGUAUAGAGCUGCAGGUGAAGGGACAUCUAGGACAUCUAGUACUUCAGCAACCAGUGAAACACAGACCAGGGACACAGAGCCUGCAGCAGGUGAAGGAGCAACAGACACAACCGGCCCUGCUUCUACACUACAGCCUGCAGACACCCUAUCCCCCACAACAAGUUCUGAUAUCCAUGAGUCCGUCAGGGGAGCACCUAUUGAUCCUGCUGACUGGCCAACACUGUCUGACACAGUGAGGACUGAAUUAGUCAAUAUAGGACCAUAUCAAACCAAUCCAGAUUUC